rnacentral:lncRNA from 1 species
UGAUACCAACUAUUGUGCAAUUUCCUAAGAUGUGAAGACCUUGAGAACACCAGCAAACUUCUCAUAAAGGAGACAGCACUAGAGUUUUACUUGAGAAUGGAGCGCCUCCCUUCUUUCUUUCCUUAGAGGUGGCGGCCAGGGUUUGCUGCCCCUCCUAUAUGGUGUGGAACCAGAGAGGAAAGAGAGAGAUGAGGGUUUUGGGAGAAAAGGAUUUGAUUCAUUCCUCUUGUAAUAGGUU